AUAUGGAAGUUCCCAGGCUGGAGGCCAAAUCAGAGCUACAGCUGCUAUUCUACACCACAGGCACAACAACUUGGGAUCCAAGCCAAGUGUGCGACCUACGCCAAAGCUCAUGGCAAUACCAGAUCCUUAACCCACUGAGCGAGGCCAGAGAUGGAACCCACAUCCUUAUGGAUACUAGUCAGAUUCAUUUCUGAUGCACCACAAUAGGAAUUCCCUGAACAAGCAUUUUAAGAAGUGAAUUAAGGCUUGUGGUCUUGACAGGCUGUGAGGCCCAAUCUGGUCAGGACAGAGGGCAGAAGAGGAGCCCAAGAUUAGUGCUUUUGCAUCAAGUCAGCACGCUGCUCGUUCUGCUCUCAGCAGGUACCCUGAUUCUAGGAUCCCGGCUCCAGCCCAAGGCACCAGCAUCCUCGUCCUAGUUCUAGUUCCCCUUUGCUGUGCUCCAAAAUGCUCUUCCUAAAAUACAAACCCGGCCAGGCUGCUCCAUGCUCCAAGCACCCCGGCUCAGCUCUGUGGCCUUCAGGAUUCCUCUGACUGCCUGAGGCUGCUCUGUCCAGGCUGGUCUCUGAGUCCCAGCCAGCUCUGCUUGCUCUGUUCACAUUUCAGCCUAAAUGUCGCCUCCUCAAGGGGGCCCUCCCUAACUGCCCAGUUACUCCCAAUAACAUGAAUGUAUUUCACUCCUCUGCUUAGAACCUAACCCUGCAGAUAUUCCCUUAGUUAUAUAGUUGUCUCCUCCCACUAGAAAGUGAGAGUAGGUAUAUAACUCGUUUGCGGCUCUAUCCUCUGCCUAUCACAGUGCCCGGAACACAGAAAGACCUCAGUAAACGUACGCUGAACAGAUGAACACAUUAAUUAAUCACUGGCUUGCACUGCCAGCCUUGGCUGGGCUCUCACACUGAAUGCAGGAGGUUACCGACAAGUUGCAUUUCUCAGAUGCAACCAGCCAACAUGUGGAGCAGAGUUUGCUUACUGCAACGUCUGUGCUCUGGGGAAAGUGUUACAGAAAUACAAUUUCUGUAAACUGUUCCCAUUAAAGAAAGCUGGUGUUUUGGAGUUCCCUGGUGGCCUAGAGGUUAAGGAUUCAGCACUGUCACUGCCGUGGGUUUGAUCCCCAGCCAGGAACUUCUGCAUGCCAUGGGCAGGGUCAAAAAAAAAAAAAAAAUCAUUCCAAUAUCUUCAUAGUAGUCUGUAAAGAGAAGCACUGCUUCUUUCUAUCUUUUUUGCACAAAUGAAUUUUCCAAAAUUUUUCUUAAAACAGCUGUGCAUAUUUGUUAUUAAUGUCAAAAUCACCACUUAAAUUUUCCUAUUUACUGACAGAAAUAAAAGCAUCAUCUUCAUCCUUGGAACAAAUUAUGCCUUAACAAUAAAUUAAAUAAAUUAAAUAAAGCAGUAGGGUCCAGAGAGUAUUGUAAACCCACUCAUGGAAUAACUGUUCUCGGCGCCUUUAGAAACCGUGGAACAAUAGAGCACAUGAGAAGGCGCUUGUGCGCUGCUCUGAGGAAAACGGACAGGCAUUCUGACCACAUAACAUGCAGAGGAGAGGUUUUAUAAAGAGCUUUAUAAAGAGGACUAUUCGAAUGCAUUUCUGUCUAAUUCCUGGACUCAUUGUGCAAGGAAAGAUUUCAGAGACCCAUAGGUACCUCAAGCAUACAAAGAAAACUAUGAAUAGAUGACAGUUCCAUUUUAGUGCUGGGGUCCUGUCUCCCCCUAAUUCAGAAAACUUAUAUUCUACAUAAUAGUUUCCCAGCAAAGAUCCUGCCCACCCAUCUUUCCCACAAUGGAAAAGCCAAGGGAAAAUCUCCACUUGGGAGCUUUAAUUGGUUUUCCUGUGCCUGCUGUUGUGGGGAGUGAGUUUCAAGGGAGCUUAGAGUAGAUGAGGGAGGAGGGCGCCUGGCUUCCAUUUACAGAGAGUUACAAAAAGGCAACAUGGAAAAUAAACAGUUGGUUGCAAGGCAGUAAGCAGAAGUUAGGAAGAGAAAAUCAGGCCCCUGCAUGCCAGCCUCUUGAAAAGAUAAGUGCAGGCUAUGCCCGAAAUGGUUUCUGGCCUUCAGGGGGCGGGGGGGAGGGCACAUGGCCACCAUGGAUAUACUGAUGAGAACACAGCCAUGGGGGAGAAGUUGUCACACUAGCUGGGAGGGUGUAGGUGCCACUUACAGGACCUACUGCAUAGCAAGGGGAAACCUACUCAAUAGUCUGUGAUGGUGUAGGAGUUCCCACUGUGGUUCAGCAGGUUAAGGACCUGACACUCAGUGAGGAUUCCAGUUCAAUCCCUGGCCUUUCUUGCUGAAUGGGUUAAGGAUCCCUCGUUACUGCAAGCUGCAGUAUGGGUCACAGAUGCGGCUUAGAUCUGGCGUUGCCGUGGCUGUGGUGUAGGCUGGCAGCUGCAGCUUGCAGCUCUGAUUUGACCCUUAGCCUGGGAAUUUCCAUAUGCGAGAAGGAAAAGAAAAAGAAAAAAAAGAUCGCUAAAUAAGGCAAAACCAAACAAAGCAAAACCCACCCAUGCCCCUGAGGCAUGAGGAAGGGUUGCUGUUUAUUUACUCUCUUCCUAUCCUUUUCUCAAACCUUCCUGCUCUUCCUUCUCCAAUGGCUUAUUACUGAUAACAACAGACAGGUGUUGCACCCUCUACACUGGUGGUUCACAGUGAUGUGAUGGCCAUGUCACCUGGGGGAGGUUUCAAGAACCACCAGGUUGAGAGCCCCUCAGGAUGUUAAUUCCAAAGACUGGGAGUGGGCACUGGCGUCACUAUGUAUUAAUCCUCUGCAAGCAAUGCUCUUUGCAGUCAGCGUGGAGAACUGCUGCUCUCAGGGCAGCUGGGGAGAAAGAGGGCAAGAGACGAAGAGAGGGUGGAUCAGAUGGUCCAUCCCAACAACAGAGGAGGCGGGCAGCAUCACCAACUCUGCAGCGCGAGGCGGGGGGUGGGGGGGGUGUAUUUAAAUGAGAAUGAAAGGGCAGCAGUAACAAGGUGUGGGCCCCCUGCGUGCUGCGGUUCAGCCCUCCGAGGACAGGAAGUGUGGUAACAAGAAGAAAUGUCUGACAAUUCAAGGAAGAUGCCUGGCAAGAGAAGGCGAACUGAUCCUGGCGGAACCAAGACAGGGCAUGUCGAACUAUCGCAAGUUGGGAGAUAAGAGAGAAAACGAAUCUUGGGAAGAGGUUGUAAGACCUGCAGAGAAACUGCCAUCUGAAGCUGGAGUAGGAGGUGUAUGUAAACCAAGACACCCCAAGAACGAGGUCUUGGCUAGCAAAGGUGGGGUGUGUACUUUCACGUGUCAAGGAUUCAACGCCUUUUCAUCUGAUGGUUUCCCCUUCAGACAUAAGUUUUGGUGUCACUCGUAAGCAGAUCAGAACUCAAAAAAAAAAAAAAAAAAAAA
rnacentral:lncRNA from 1 species